rnacentral:lncRNA from 1 species
UUUUUAUUUAGUUUUUAGUAAUAAGUUUGGAUUAAAAAUGGUUUGGUUGUAGGGGGAUGGGAUAAGGUUUUGAAAAGUCUAUUUUUUGUGUGCAAAGGGAUAGAUGAGGACCAAAAAGAAAUCCUAUUCCAUCUUUAACACCACAAUCGACCUUACCAAAUUACUAUCUUAUUGGUUGCAGAAAAGCACAUACAACUCCACUUCAUCAAAGUUUGAAUCUGGAUGAUAAAAAGAUGGUAAAGCCUACUUGGUUGGGCUUGAAUCUGGAUGAUAAAAAGAUGGUAAAAGGGCAACAUAAAAGCCCCAAGGGAUUUAGCCCAUUGAACCCAUUUAGCUCAAUGGAUAACUCUUGAGUGGAAACGUGAUUGAUUUGAUUGAACAUAAAAAGAAAAGAGGUUGUGGCCGCCAUUAACAAGUAUUCAACAGUUAUCUUACAAAUGAAUAUGAUAGAGGAUGUCAAACCAAGAAUACGAUGUACCUAAAGUUUGGCAUUCCGCAAAAGGAUGCUAGC